GCAGUAUCCUAACUGUGCUAAGGUAGCAUAAUCAUUAGUCUUUUAAUUGGAGACUGGUAUGAAUGGCUUAACGAGAAAUUGACUUUUUUUGUUAUAUUAAUUGAAUUUAAUUUUUUAGUGAAAAAGCUAAAAUAAUUCAGAAAGACGAGAAGACCCUAUAGAGUUUUAUGUAUUUUUUGUAAUUGUUUUUAUUUGAUUUUUUAAGAACAAUUAUAAAAAAACAUUUUGUUGGGGCGAUAUUUAGAUAUAUAAAACUCUUUAUUUUAAUAAUUUUUUUGAAAAUAUUGUAUGAUCCUUUAUAAAAGAUCAAAAGAAAAAAUUACCUUAGGGAUAACAGCGUAAUCUUUUUUGAGAGUUCUAAUCGACAAAAAGGUUUGCGACCUCGAUGUUGGACUAAAAUUUAGACAGGGUGCAGUAGUUCUGUUUUAAGGUCUGUUCGACCUAUA
rnacentral:rRNA from 1 species